CACCUACUCAUUCUGUCCGAAAAUACUUGUCAUCAAAAUGGAUAAAAGGGGAUGUAUCUAGAUGUACGGAAAAUAUUUUAGUUCUAAAUACUUGUCAUCAAAAUGAAAAGAGAUGUAUCUAGAACUAAAAUACAUCUAGAUACAUCCCCUUUUAUCCAUUUUGAUGACAAGUAUUUUCGGACGAAGGGAGUAUCUC
rnacentral:pre_miRNA from 1 species